GCGGCUGUGGCGGAAUUGGUAGACGCGCACGCUUGAGGGGCGUGUGGGCAACCGUGCCGGUUCGACUCCGGCCAGCCGCA
rnacentral:tRNA from 1 species